rnacentral:rRNA from 1 species
GACGAACGCUGGCGGCGCGCUUAACACAUGCAAGUCGAACGGAAAGGCCUGCUUUCCCUUGUGGAUUGCGGGUACUCGAGUGGCGAACGGGUGAGUAACACGUGAGUGAUCUGCCCCCAACUUGGGUAUAAGCCUGGGAAACUGGGUCUAAUUCCCGAUAGGACUGCAGGGUGGUGCCUGUGGUGGAAAACGAUUUUCUAGUGGUUGGGGAUGAGCUCGCGGCCUAUCAGCUUGUUGGUGGGGUAAUGGCCUACCAAGGCGGCGACGGGUAGCCGGCCUGAGAGGGUGGAAGGCAACAUUGGGACUGAGAUACGGCCCAGACUCCUACGGGAGGCAGCAGUGGGGAAUAUUGCACAAUGGGCGGAAGCCUGAUGCAGCGACGCCGCGUGGGGGAUGACGGCCUUCGGGUUGUAAACUCCUUUCGACCGCGAGGAAGCCACCUGGUUGGAAGGGUGGUGACGGUAGUGGUAGAAGAAGCACCGGCUAACUACGUG